AUAUAUAUAUAUAUGUAUGUAUGUAUAUAUGUAUGUAUGUAUAUAUGUAUGUAUAUAUAUAUAUGUAUGUGUGGAAUCAGUCGAGAAAAGUAUAUUUUAAUCUAUACCCACCUGCUCAAGGAGAAGCCACUUCUAGCCACCUUUGUUAGGCAACCUCAACAUCCCAUUUUUCAGUUGCAUUUCAAGGUGGAGUUUUAGUGGUGCACCAAACUGACCAUUCAUAGUACAUACCGAUUACAGUAUGUCAGUUGACAAAAACCUCCUUGUAUAUUCUCUAUGCUUUAUAUACAUUAUAUUUUUUUAUAUAUAUCAACCUAUAGUAUAUAUUUACUGUUAAAGCAGAAGCUCCCUCUAUGGGUAAAUAUAUUGUUUAUUUUUUUUGCUUUUUUUUAAAAAUUAUUUCCAUGACUCUCAAAGACUUUGUGAAGACUGCUGUAAAGGCAUGAAAGGAUGUAGUGUUGUGAAAUGUGGUAAAAAGGUAAUUGAACAGGUGUAGUGUGUGUAUGCGUGUGAUCACGUGCAUGAAUAUAUAUACAGGUAUACUUCAACUUAGGUCAUUUCGAGUUAUAUCUUUUUUUCGACUUUGUAUCUAUUUUUUUCUAAAGAAAUAAAUGGGGGGGGGGGGGCAAAAAAGCUCAACUUUUCAGUCAGUUUGUCUGACUUCACGUCGCUCUUGGUGCAUAUUUAAACCCAUAAAAACAUUAACAGAAAA